UGGACCCAUGUCGUUUGGAUGAACAGUCAAAGGCAGGUUUUUUGGCUGUAAAAGCAUCAGACAUCGCUACGGAAAAAGAGAAGAAGAAAUCUGCUCAAAGUCUUCUUGAGGCUAGAAGCAAAGUUCAUGAAUAUCGUGCGGGAGAUAGGUCACAUCCCGAUCAUGAGAAGAUAUAUGCAUUGCUUAGGGGUUUAAAGCAGCUAAUGAAGGAGGACGGUUAUAUACCAGAGACGAAGUUUGUG
rnacentral:misc_RNA from 1 species